UCGACGCUUCCUAACCGGGGGAGGAAUAGCAGACGAGUCCGGCGACGCUUCAGGACGUAGCAGUCCGAGCUCCUUUAAUGUCCCCGCAUCAAAGUCCAGAACUCGACAAAACUCGCUUUCGCCGAUGUUAAAUUGCAACUU